rnacentral:rRNA from 1 species
GUCCUUUUGAAAAUAAUUUAAGGUCUAGCCUGCCCACUGAAUAUUUAAAUGGCCGCAGUAUUUUGACUGUGCAAAGGUAGCAUAAUCAUUAGUUUUUUAAUUGAAAGCUGGAAUGAAUGGUUGGAUAAGAAAAUUACUGUCUCAGUUAAAUUUUUUUAUAAAUUUAUUUUUAAGUUAAAAAGCUUAAAUUUUUUUAAAAGACGAGAAGACCCUAUAGAGUUUUAUAAAAAUUAAAUUUUUUAUUUAAGAAAAAAAAAUUUUAAAUUUUAUUUUUAUUUAAUUGGGGUGAUUGAAAAAUUUAAAUAACUUUUUUUAUAUUAUUACAUAAAUUUAUGAUUAAUUGAUCCAUAAAUAAUGAUUAAAAGAUUAAAUUACCUUAGGGAUAACAGCGUAAUUUUUUUGGAGAGUUCAAAUUGAUAAAAGAGAUUGCGACCUCGAUGUUGGAUUAAAGUAAAUAAUUGGUGUAGAAGCU